rnacentral:rRNA from 1 species
UGGGGAAUUUUGGACAAUGGGGGCAACCUGAUCCAGCAAUGCCGCGUGUGUGAAGAAGGCCUUCGGGUUGUAAAGCACUUUUGUCCGGAAAGAAAACGUCGUGGUUAAUACCCGUGGCGGCUGACGGUACCGGAAGAAUAAGCACCGGCUAACUACGUGCCAGCAGCCGCGGUAAUACGUAGGGUGCAAGCGUUAAUCGGAAUUACUGGGCGUAAAGCGUGCGCAGGCGGUUUGCUAAGACCGAUGUGAAAUCCCCGGGGCUCAACCUGGGAACUGCAUUGGUGACUGGGCAGGCUAGAGUAUGGCAGAGGGGGGUUAGAAUUCCACGUGUAGCAGUGAAAUGCGUAGAGAUGUGGAGGAAUACCGAUGGCGAAGGCAGCCCCCUGGGCCAAUACUGACGCUCAUGCACGAAAAGCGUGGGGAGCAAAACAGGAUUAGAUACCCUGGGUAGUCCACGCCCUAAACGAUGUCAACUAGUUGUUGGGGGAUUCAUUUCCUUAGUAACGUAGCUAACGCGUGAAGUUGACCGCCUGGGGAGUACGG